rnacentral:tRNA from 1 species
GGGGCGGUGGUGUAAGUGGAGCAUGCAUGCGGCUCUUAUGAAGCUGAGGCGCGGGUUCAAUCCCUGCCCGUCCCU